AGGGAGGGGAUGUGCUUAAUUGGGGAAGAGGAAUGGGAAAAGACUCCUUCUGCUUGAGAAGAAGGGUGGCAAAGAGGUGAUUCCUCAAAAGAGACACUGGAAAAUAAUGUCUAUAAAAUUUUAGGGAUUCGGAGAGGAUAGUGACAGAGGAAGAGAAUUCCUUAAAAGAGAAAAAGAUCUGGACAGAAGAUCUCUGUACCUGAGCGUGAGACUCCCCCACGCUCCAGACAGAGCGGCAACUGCCAGCCACUUGCCACCAGGUCCUCCCUUUGCCAAGCCCAACUCGCCCAAAGCCCUCCCGGCCCCGACGGGGCCCUCCCGUGCUCCCGGCUCAGUGGCAGCGGCGGUUCCCGGUCCGGGUCCGCGGGUGCCUGCCGUGGCCCUGCCCGCACCACGCGCAGCCCUCCAGGCCCCCGGGGCGCGCCGAGGCGCUUCCUUACCUUGGGGGACUCGCUAUCUCUUUCUCUGUCUCUCCUUGGAACAGCGGCCCCCAGAAUGCAACUGAAGCCAUUUCCCUGCUCUGAGACGUCGGACAAGUCACUCCCUGCCAGGGCUGCAGUUUCCUGUCUCUAAAAGGAGUUGAUGAGCAGCUCUAGGUGGGGUGGCGAUGGGGGACUCAGGAGGUGCCCCGUGCCUGUGGUCCCCUGUUGAAGUUCACGCCUCCUCAAAUGCAGCGGCCACCCAGCGCUCGCUGGGUGCCAUAUGUGCCCCACAAAACACCUUUCCUCAGCCUCGAGGACAAGUACCACAGGCCAGUUCCGCGGGAAAAGUUAAUGGUGGUUUCCUCCAGGGUCCCUAAAGCCCCUCCUGAAAAGUGACUGUGGUUCCCCUCCCCCUGUCCUCAGGUUUUGAGUGGGCACAACCUAAGCUGGAUCUGAUAGGCCCUGUCACCUGCUGGUUCCUCCCUGGUUGACACCAAGCAGAGGGGCAAUGCUCUCUCCCUGUCCUUAGACCCAAGCAGGAGAAAAAUCUACCCUCCCUCCUUCCCUCCCCAUUCCCCAUCACACCGUGAUUGGCUUUUAAGCUUCAGGGAUGUUUCCCGGACCGAGUGUGGCUUCAGAGUCAGAGAGAUGUGAGUUCAAGACCACUUGCUUAGGUGGCUUUUGUGGACAAGAUGCGACCACCUCAUGAGGAUCAAGAUGUACUCCUUGCUCUUCUCUGCACAGCAGUCUCAAAACUAGGCUACACCGUCUGUCUCCUCUGGUCACCAUUUCGAGAGGCAGCAAGGGUCUUCCUAACCCUCAGCUCCCUCUGAUUUUUGGAAUUCAGAUUUGGAUUUUGGAUGUACAUCAAGAGGCUGGCUCCAUGCAUUUUAAUUAAGCUGUCUUUUUUCAUUUAUUACUAAUACACUCCUCUUAACUAUGAUUUAUUUGUUAAACAAAGCACCAUAAGCCGUCACUUAUUCAUCUUAAUUUCAACAAAAUUAAAGUAGUCGCUGUUAGAUUGCACCUAAUUGCACUUGCAAUGAAAAGAACGGAGAUGUUAAUCAAAAUAAAUUGAAGAUAAACAAUAAAAUCAUUACAUCUUU